GGAGUUAGCCGGUGCUUCUUCUGUGAGUGAUGUCCUUCCUGCCGGCUAUUAACCCGCAGGCCUUCUUCCUCACUGAAAGUGCUUUACAACCCGAAGGCCUUCUUCACACACGCGGCAUGGCUGGAUCAGGGUUGCCCCCAUUGUCCAAUAUUCCCCACUGCUGCCUCCCGUAGGAGUCUGGGCCGUGUCUCAGUCCCAGUGUGGCUGAUCAUCCUCUCAGACCAGCUACGGAUCGUCGCCUUGGUGAGCCGUUACCUCACCAACCAGCUAAUCCGACAUAGGCUCAUCCGAUAGCGCGAGGCCCGAAGGUCCCCCGCUUUCCCCCGUAGGGCGUAUGCGGUAUUAGCCUGGGUUUCCCCAGGUUAUCCCCCACUACCGGGCAGAUUCCUAUGCAUUACUCACCCGUCCGCCGCUCGCCACCAGGGAGCAAGCUCCCCGUGCUGCCGCUCGACUUGCAUGUGUUAGGCCUGCCGCCAGCGUUCAAUCUGAGCCAUANCACACUCACNCNGCGGCGUCGUCGACGACGGCGACUAG
rnacentral:rRNA from 1 species